UAUUUGGACAAAUUUGAGUCA
rnacentral:miRNA from 1 species